GAUGAACGCUGGCGGCGUGCCUAACACAUGCAAGUCGAGCGGCAGCGCGGGGUGCUUGCACCCUGUCGGCGAGCGGCGGACGGCUGAGUAACGCGUGGGAACGUGCCCCAAAGUGAGGAAUAACUGCCCGAAAGGGUAGCUAAUACCGCAUAUUAUCUUCGGAUCAAAGGAUUUAUCCGCUUUGGGAGCGGCUCGCGUCGGAUUAGGUAGUUGGUGAGGUAAUGGCUCACCAAGCCGACGAUCCGUAGCUGGUCUGAGAGGCUGACCAGCCAGACUGGAACUGAGACACGGUCCAGACUCCUACGGGAGGCAGCAGUGAGGAAUCUUCCACAAUGGGCGAAAGCCUGAAGGAGCAACGCCGCGUGCAGGACGAAGGCCUUCGGGUUGUAAACUGCUUUUAUAAGUGAGGAAUAUGACGGUAACUUAUGAAUAAGGAUCGGCUAACUACGUG
rnacentral:rRNA from 1 species